rnacentral:rRNA from 1 species
AUUGAACGCUGGCGGCAGGCUUAACACAUGCAAGUCGAGCGAGCGGCGGACGGGUGAGUAAUGUCUGGGAAACUGCCUGAUGGAGGGGGAUAACUACUGGAAACGGUAGCUAAUACCGCAUACCAUCAGAUGUGCCCAGAUGGGAUUAGCUAGUAGGUGGGGUAAUGGCUCACCUAGGCGACGAUCCCUAGCUGGGCUGAGAGGAUGACCAGCCAAACUGGAACUGAGAAACGGGCCAGACUCCUACGGGAGGCAGCAGUAGGGAAUAUUGCACAAUGGGCGCAAGCCUGAUCCAGCAAUGCCGCGUGUGUGAAGAAGGCCUUCGGGUCGUAAAGCUCUUUCAGCGAGGAGGCGUUACUCACAGAGGAAGCACCGGCUAACUCCGUGCCAGCCGCCGCGGUAAUUC